rnacentral:misc_RNA from 1 species
UAUCCGUAGGUGAACCUGCGGAUGGAUCAUUACUAAAAUUGAAACUGAGUUUGAAUAUUGCAUUCAUUCCAUUUUUUAUAUUUUUUUACCAUUUGUGAAUUGUUUAUUGUCUGCGAUGAUCGUUUGCGAUUGUCAAUGGCAUAUUUUUAAUAAUUAAUUAAAAACUAUAAUUUUAAAAUCUUAAAACUUUUAGCAACGGAUCUCUAGGCUCUCGCAUCGAUGAAGAAUGCAGC